rnacentral:rRNA from 1 species
AUGGUGGAACUGAAUGAUCACUGCAUUGCCCAUCUCAAAUUCCUGCUCCUCUGCUUCGAAGCUCUCUCGGGUCUUAAGAUUAAUUUCUCCAAAAGUGAAGUUAUUGUUACUGGCGUUCCGGGUACCGAGGCCUUACGGGUUGCCCGGCUUUUGAAUUGUUCUCUUGGCUCGUUCCCUAUUAAAUAUUUGGGUUUGCCUGUCACUCCUGAUAAACUUCUUGCUAAAGAUUUUGCUCCUACGGUAGCCAAGGUUGGAAAUCGCGUUAUGCCCUGGAGGGGCAGAUACAACACUCAGGCGGGUAAAGUGGCCUUGAUCAAUGCUUGCCUCUCAUCUCUCCCGAUGUUCUUGAUGGGCUUUUACCUUUUGUCAGUGGGAACCCAUGCAGGUUUUAAUAAACACAGAGGUGCUUUUUACUGGAACGCGGCUGAUAACAAACGCAAAUACCGCUUGGUCAAGUGGGACCUUAUUUGUAAGCCAAAAAGCCUUGGGGGGCUGGGCAUAAUCAAUACUCUUGUCAUGAACAAAUGUUUGAUCAUCAAAUGGUGGUGGAAGAUCAUGACCAUCUCCCAGGACAAGCCCCUCUGGUUCAACAUCCUCAAAGCGAAGUAUUUCCCUUCUUCUAGUCCUAUGUUUGCUUGUGCCUCGGGGGCAUCUCAAUUCUGGAAAAACCUUGUUAAACUCAGGCCCCUUUUUCAAGGCCUCGUCAAAUUCGUUGUCCGCAACGGUAGAUCCACCAGAUUCUGGCUCGAUUGGUGGUGCGGACCUUCCUCGCUGGCCAUUGCUUUCCCUGUUCUUUUUUCGUACUGCCCGGACCCUGAGAUCUCUAUCUUUGAGCUCGCGUCGAAUAAUUGGGAACUGCGUCUGCGUCGCUCUCUCGCUCCUGCAGAGUUGGAAGACUGGUAG